GUGCUCGCUUCGGCAGCACACGUACAAAAAUUGGAAUGAUACAGAGAAGAUUAGCAUGGCACCUGCACAUGCAUAACAUGCAAAUUCGAGAAGCAUUCCAUAUUUUU